rnacentral:lncRNA from 1 species
CUGACAUUUUGUUGACAAGUUGACUGCAACGUAGAGCAUCUCCUGGAGGAUCUGCUUUUACGGCGUAGCGAUGGCAGGGCUUCUGCUUCUGGAAGGUGGAGCAGGUGCAUUCACGCCCUUCUCUGUCUUCCUCCAACAACAUAAACUAAAAGCUGUAAGCAUGGCAGAUGCUUGAUCCGCCCCUCCUCCCAUGUGAGAUGCUGCCUCGAGAGCUGCACAAAGACCCCUCUGUGAAGCCCCUUAGCGAUCCCACAAGGAAAAUAGCACGACCAUCCUGUUCUACAGAUGGGGCAACUUGAGGCUCAGAGAGGCCAGGCGACUUGCCCAGUGUCACACACAGUCUGCCAUUGGUUGUAGAGUCAGGAUGUGAACCCGAGUUUGUCUCACUCAGAGCCCGCACUCUGAGCUGCCUGCCUCUGCUUCUCGGAUUCCAGCCUUGGUUUUGUGUGAGUCCCGGGCACACUGUAGGUGCUGAACUCAUUGCUGAAUGCACACAUCCAGCAGAUGUUUAGUGAGCGCCUACUGUGUGCCAGGCAGUGUUCUAGGCACUGUGGAUACAGCAGGGAGCAAGACAGACAGCAACCUUGCCCCCAUGAUGCUGGUAUUUAAGUAGCAGAAGAAAACAUGCAAUAAAUAUUGAUACACACGCACUAUGCUAGACACUGGUAAGUGCUAAGGUCAGAAAAUGACGCGGGGGCAGUGGGGACGGGAUGCAAGGGGGUGCAAUAUUAAGUGGAGUGGCAGGGAAGGCCUCGCUGAGAAAGGAGUCAUUGCACCUGAAACAGGGAAGGUUACGAGCAAUGGGGCAUCUAGGGGAGAAGGAACAGGCAACACAGAGGUCUGGAGGCCGGACCACGCCUGUAGCAACUUUGAGGAACUGCAAGGAAGCCAGCAUGGCUGAUGCUAAGUGCGCAAAGAGGUCAGUGGUGGGAGAUGAGGACACAGAGGACAGAUGCUCCAGGAGGGCCAGAGUGUGUGCGGCUUUGAGGCCACAGAAGGACUUGGUGUUUACUCUGGGGGAAGUGGGAGCCACGGCAGGCGUUUGAGCAGAGAAGCAGCCUCCUCUGACUUGGGAUUUAACAGGUUCCCUCUGGCUGCCGUGUGAGGAAUAGCCUCAGUGGGGUUAGGGUGGCAGCUGGGAGACCAGGGACCUGGACUACUGCACCUGUCCAGGCGAGCAAUGAUGGCAGCUGGAACCUGGUUGGGGUGGGGAGAGGUGGAGGUGGUGAGAAGUCCGCAGAUUCUGGAUGUAUUUGGAAGAGAAAAACAGCAGGAUUUGCUGAUGAGUCAGACACGGGCAGGAGAGAAAAAAAGCAGUCGGAUGACUCUGAGGUGUUUAGUCCAGCAACAGGGAGAUGAGGUUACCAUUCCCAGAGAAGCAGGCAGUGGAGGAGCAGGCCUGAGGUCGAUGUUAAACAUGAUGGUAAGUUCGAGAUGCCCGUGAGCCAUCUGCAACCCAAGCAGGUUUUUCUCUAAGGACACAGCAGCAGAAAAUAUAACACACUGUCUGGCUUGAGCUUCUGAAAAUCCUCACUCCUCAGGUUUGUUCUCCUCCAGGGAUAAAACCAGCCAACCAGAUCUUUCGCUGCCAUCUCUCCUGAGCAUGGCGAGCCUCCAACUGGGUUGGCUUCAAUCCUCGGGGAAGCUGGCGCCAUAAAUCACUCGGCGAUGAUCCCAGGGGCCUCUGAGGACAUCUCCCGCACACAAAGAAUCGCAUGUUCUCCAGCCCUUGAAUUGAGGUGCAGUCACGUGUCUUGGUGCAGUGCGUGAAACCCGGAUGGAACAGAUAUGUUUUAAGAGCCAGUGCGCAAUUCACCAUGAUUCACUUCAUUCACUUCCCUUCCUACAACUAUUGCAGUUUGCCAAGAGUAGAGCGAUCUGUGCCACCCAUGAGGGACAACACAUAAACUGUGAUUAUUGUUUGUUAAGCUGGAAUUUGGGGGGUCAUUUGUUAAUGCAGCAAGACCUAAUCUCUCCUGACUGAGGCCAGAUUAAAUGAGUUAAUACAUCUAAAAUCCUUGGAGUACUGUCUGGCACAUGGCAGCCACCACAGACUGUUAGCUUUUAUUAUUGUUUAAACAAUCAUAAAGACAAAAUCAGCAAACCUGGACAUGGAGUAGCAGAUAGACUCCAGGGAGGCCCCAGUGGCCUCUGCCUCCUGGUGUUCAUGCCCUUAUUAAUCUCCUCCCCUUGAUUGUGGACUAGACCCACAUGAGGCUUUCUUCUUGCAAAGGUGAUGGAAUGUCACUUGCAGGACCUACAAUCAUAGUGUCUGUCUUGCUAGGAGGCUCUCUCCCUUGCUGGCUCUGAUGAAGUGAGUGGGUAUGUGGGAAGAACCACAUAACAGAGAACUGGGGGUGGCCGCCAGCCAAUGACCAGCUAAGAAUAGAGGGGGCAGCCUCUGGCCCAAAGCCAGCAAGAAUCUGAGCCCUACAGCCCCACAGCGAGGGUAACCAACUCAUUCCAGCCUGCCUGGGCUUUUUCAGCUUUAGCACUGGAGAGUCCCACAUCCCUGGAAAUUCCCUCCUGGUCUAUCCAGGACUAUCCUAGUUUUAGGGUUGAAAGGUUGGCAUCCCUGGAGCCCCUCAGUCCUGAGCAAACUGGAAUGGUCGGUGUAUUCGAUGGCUAGGACUGCCGUGACAAGUGCCACAGACUAGGCGGCUUACCGAACAGACGUUUAUUUGCUCACAGUUCUAGAGGCUGGAAGCCCUGGAUCAAGGCGUGGGCAGUGUUCUUUUCUUCUGAAGUCUCUCUCCUCGGCUUGCCGAUGGCCAUCUUCUCUCUGUGUCUUUACGUGGUCUUUCCUGUGUAUGUCCUAAUCUUAUUUGAUAGAAUAGUCAUAGCAGAUUUGGGCCCACCCUAAUAACUUUGUUUUAACUUAAUUACUUCUUCAAAGACCUAUUCCUAAAUACAGUCACAUUCUGAGGUACUGGGGCAUAGGACUUCAACAAAGGAAUUUUGGAGGGGGCACAGUUCGGCCCAUAAGAACUGGUUCCCCUAAUUGACAGCAACAAGAACCUGAAUUCUGCUAGCAACCAUGUGAGCUUGAAGCAGAUCCUCCCUGGUCAAGCCUUCAGAUGAGACCCAGUCCAGCUAACACUUUAAUGGCAGCCUUGCAGAGGAACCAGCUAAGCCAUGUGAGGCUCCUGACCCACAGAAACUGCUACAUAAUAAAUGGGUAUCCCAGCUACUCGGGAGACUGAGGCAGGAGAAUCGCUUGAACCAGGGAGUUGGUGGUUGCAGUGAGCCAAGAUCACGCCACUGCACUCCAGCCUGGUGACAGAGCAAGACUCCAUCUCAAUAAAUAAAUAAAUAAAUAAAUAAAUAAAACUGGGUAUCAUUUUAAGCUGCUAACUUUGUGACGUUUUGUUACAUAGCAAUGGGUAAUGAAUGCCUUGAGUCAUAUCUGUGCACUUGCCCAACCUUGCCCAUAGCUUUCUGCUGAUCCCUGGCACAGAACCUUCUGUUUCCAUAGUCACAUGAUGGUCUUCUGGGAGAACUGGAAGGACCAAUAUUACUCUGUAGAUUCCUCUUCUGUUUCACCCAAUAACUCACUCUUCUGGGUUCUUCACUCUUCCCUCAUGUGGUAUAACUUUGUUUUUGUCAAAAUACUUUUAUACACUUUACGAAUCAAUCCAUUUCUUGUUGGGUUCUGACAAUGUCCCCAGUACGACUGGGUCUUUAAAGUGUUGAGUUUUUAUCUUCUUUCCAGCCACACAGGAUAACCAUUCCCUCCUAACUGCAAAUAGCAAGGAUGAGGGUUACAGAGGUGAUGUCGUCAAGUGUAUUUGACUCCAGGCUCUGAGAACCUGCAGUCAUCUUCCCUAAUCCAGGAUGCCCAG